rnacentral:rRNA from 1 species
GACGAACGCUGGCGGCAGGCCUAACACAUGCAAGUCGAGCGGACCUUUCGGGGUCAGCGGCGGACGGGUGAGUAACGCGUGGGAAUAUGCCCUUCUCUACGGAAUAGUCCUGGGAAACUGGGGGUAAUACCGUAUACGCCCUUUGGGGGAAAGAUUUAUCGGGGAAGGAUUAGCCCGCGUUGGAUUAGGUAGUUGGUGGGGUAAUGGCCUACCAAGCCGACGAUCCAUAGCUGGUUUGAGAGGAUGAUCAGCCACACUGGGACUGAGACACGGCCCAGACUCCUACGGGAGGCAGCAGUGGGGAAUCUUAGACAAUGGGGGCAACCCUGAUCUAGCCAUGCCGCGUGAGCGAUGAAGGCCUUAGGGUUGUAAAGCUCUUUCAGCUGGGAAGAUAAUGACGGUACCAGCAGAAGAAGCCCCGGCUAACUCCGUG